AUGAAGCUUAAUUCACUUAUUCUCUUCUUUGCCUCAGCUGCUUCAGUCUUUGGAAGUGAUAUCAAAUCAAACAUCACAGAUGUUGUUUAUAAGGAGGGUUCAGAUGGUACAAUAUUCUGCAGUCAUUAUCCUGGAACUGGAGAUAAUAUCUUCUGGUACCGCCAAUAUGGAGGAUCAAAACCUGAAUUUUUGCUUGCUACCUAUGGCAGUGCAAAAGACACUGAAACAUCAAAAGUAGAUCCAAGAUUCUCAGUUAAAGUUGAAAAAAAGGAACGAAACCAUGCAGAUCUGAAGAUCUCCUCUGCUGCAGUAUCAGACUCUGCUGUGUAUUACUGCGCUCUGAGGCCCACAAUGACAGGAAACACAACAGCUCUAUACAAUAACCUGAUACAAUCAGACACAAGAGAGAAACAGAGAAAAAGCAAGAAGAAACAAGCCGUGACUCCAAAUUACAGUGAUAUAAUGUGA